GUGGGGUUGUGGCUCAGAGGUAAAGCGCUUGCCUAGCAUGCGUGAGGCGCUGGGUUUGAUUCUCAGCACCACA
rnacentral:tRNA from 1 species